ACAGAAGCAUUCUGUUCUACAUGUUCUACAGAAUAGUUUUGUUCUACAGAAGCGUUCUGUUCUACAUGUUCUACAGAAGCAUUCUGUUCUACAUGUUCUGUUCACCUGUGCAGGUGUCUCACCUGUGAGAGCUCCCAGACCCAAACUCAGGCUCAGCGUGAGCAGCAGACGUCUCUGUCCAGAGACAGCAGGCGCCACCUACUCUGUGAUGUCGGACAAGCGGACCAUCUGGAUGAGGAAGUAGGCCGCCCAUCCCAGAAUUCCCGGCAUAGCAUGGACGCUCAGGACCCCGCAGGUAUCGUGGAACUUGAAUACCAACUGAAGGUGGG